UACCUAAUACCAGUUUCUGUGGGCCUAACUCGGGCGGGUGGCUGGUGAAAAGCUCACAUGUGGCAGUGGGGCUCAGUGGCUUUUGGCGGAGAGAUUUAUCGUAACAGCUGUCCAGCAGCCCAGAUCACUCAGAGGCCAUUACAUGACAGAAGGACAGCUUAACCCAGAAACAUGUAAAGCAGCUUCACAGUGAGUUGGUGAGUUAUUAACAGUACUGGAUAAAAAGUGCCACAGUGAUGCUCCCACAAGGAUUUAAUGUACUUAACUGCACUGACCUGCAUACUAAAAACCACUGAAGUAUAAACUUCAGUGUAUAUCUUAUCUCCAUAAGGGAGAAUAUAGUGGGGGGAUCAAAAGACCCACACACACCUCUCUGUUCUCCUGCCACGUAACUACUGUUAGCAAGCCAUAAUGUGCAUUUCCUGAAUAAAGAACUUAUUACUGAGUAACUGUCCAAAUAUGUUUGCGAUACUCAUUACAUCUGCAUUUCUUCCAAAAUACUUAAGAGUUUGUGACCUCAGCAUGAGAAAGAUAGCACCGGGAGAAUUAUGCUAUUGUGAGUCACUCCCAAAUCUCUGCACCACACACCCUCUCCCAGCAUUGCAGGUGUGAGUGACAUGCAGCGUUGCCACUCUUGCUGCCAGAAGUUACUGAGAAUCUAGUACUUGGUAGAUACUAUGUGAGUUCUCCAUGACAACACUGAGCCAAACAAACAUGGCUCCCACCUUCAUGAACCAAGAGUCUUUCACAGACAGAAAGAGUCAAAUAACUGAGUACAAAUGUUAAGAGAAGACUGAGCAGUGCUGGGACACUGAACAUGGUACUACCAAGAGGCCUUUGGAUUACGCUGGGGUACCAGUGAGUAUGUGGCAGGUCAGUCUCGGGAGACCUGAAGGAGUAGGGUUAGCAAGCAGAGAUGCAGAUGUCAUGUGGAGAGGAACACUCACAGAGGGGAAUCAGCUUUGGAAAGGGCCAUGUGCCUGGUGCAGUGUAGACUGAAAUGGGACUAAAGAGGGAAGGACACAUCCUAUGUGCUUUGCAUCAAGCUGGUUGCUUUCCAAGGGAAUGUGGAGUGAUGGCCUCUAGCAAGAGACUACUUUUUCCAGGACUCCAGACAUCACAGUUUAAAAGAGCUUGAAACCCUGAGAAACUUCUCCUAUUGCAUUUAUGUGGUGACAUUUGGCCAACAGAUAUUAAGGACAUGGAGUAAGCAAGGCAUUAUAGUACUGCAAAGUCCCUCGGCUGGAGGUACCAUCUGGUACACUUGAGCCAGAAGGAACAACCUGGCACGUGGGUAAGCAGCUCACUGAUGCUUGUUCUACCAGCCUGGCAGCCUGGCUAAAAAAAAAUGAGCACUCCUAUUGAAGCAGAGGGGAGAUGUGCAGAAAUGAGCAUGAAGGGAACCAGAUUUUUACUCCACCCACAUUUAAAUUCAUAUCCUCUGAAUAAAAAUCUGGUACUCUGUCCUAUUCAAAUUUGGAACUACUAGAACCUGGCUAAGGAGAUGUAGGUCAUGGCACACACUGGUACCUUCCCCAGGUGGAGUCCCCUAUCAUUAGUAUAGUUAUUGCUUCUCCACCCAUCCCCAGCCUUUAGAAAGACUUGGCAGGUAGGAGAGGACACUCGCUAGGCAGGUCAUAAAAAUGUCUGUCCAAAUAAACCAGCAUUCCCCAAUAACCCACAGACCACCCCCAGGCAAAUGCUGCCCUCUUUCCUGUGACAUGUGGAUGAACUAGCGUAUGAAAUGACCUUGAAAUUUGUUUUGUGCAAGUAUUAACAUGUGUAUAUAACAAUGUAUGUAUAACUAAGGUUAUAUACAUGUGCAUUUCGGAAAUGAAAAAGAAGGCAUCGACAAAGAAUGCUUCCCCCAGCACCCAGAGUGUUGUGGGAUGAUCUAGAGAAGUUUCUUUAGUAUGACCUUCAGCUGGGCAAAGAUCCAACCACUGGAAAGUCAACCUAGAGCAACUGAAGGCAUGUUCUGAGCAUCUGCUGGCACUCCAAGAAAACAGAAAGUGAAAAGUUAUGAGCGUGUGUACUCUUGUCCUUGGCCAUUCCAAGGAUUGUUAACCUCAGACCUGCAGUCUGUCCAAGGAAAUAUUCUUUUCAGUGUAUACGCUUAGAAGGAGAAAUGAAGGGGUGUAAAGGGGGCAAAAGAGGAAGGGGAGGAAGACAGGAGGAGGUGGCUCCUGCCAUUUUAACAUUUGAAAAAUAUUAAACCAACAUAUACCAACUAAUACACAAGGUUCCGGAGCCUGAAUCCCCAUCUUUGCAUUUGCUACGCUCCACUCUGUUUCCACUUCCCGACAGCAGCCUGAUUUCCACCUGGGUAUCCAUUUUCUCAGUAUCCAUUUACUGUGCCCAUGCAUUGUCAGUAAAUCUGAGCCUGCCUCCAGCUAGAGGAUCUAAAAGCACUCCGGACUGUAAGCCUUCCUCUGGGUCCUGCCAAGUGAAGGUCCAGGCACAUGACUUAACUUCAAGAAGCAAACCUACGUUCCAAGACUUUGACUUCUGAACCUAAUAAAACACUGACGUGCGAGGCAAAGUUCGUGUACUCCAGCCAAGCAUGUUGAAAUAGAAAGAGGCUAUCUGCCUUCUUCCAGGCAAACUGAAUAAAAUGUCCUGCUUUAGUGGCCAGAAUCUGUUUUUCCUUGAAACCAAAGUAUAUUAGUAAAUAUUUAGUGCCUUCAGAGAAAAAAAUGAAGGUAUUUACAAUUGGUAAUCUUGCCAUAAACAGAGUAAACUACACAACAUUGUGGAAGGAGACCCUAGUUACCUAUAGCUUAUGCUGAAGAAACAAGGAUCCAGCUAAUAGUCACCAUAAUAUCUCACUCUAAACAAACAGAUCUUAAUUCCUCCUUUGCCUGGAGCUGACUGACUUGUUUUAUACCUAGUCUUCUUUACCAUUUUAUCGUUAAAUGAAAUGUUACUAUAAUGGUCAUUUUGAAAAGAUUUGGGGGCUAGAGAGAUGGCUCAACAGUUAACAACACUGGCUGCUCUUCCAGUAAAAACAAGGUUUGAUUCUCAGAACCCAAAGGCUCACAACCAUCUCGAACCCCAGGGCAUCCAACACCCUCUCCAAGGCCUCCAAGAACACAGCAUACAUGUGUUGUAUAACAGACAUAUAUGUAGGCAAAACACCCAUACAUGUAAGCAGAAUUAAAAAUAAGCUUGGGUGAGUUUGCUGAACCCUAAUCUGAAUUUCCAACUUUUCUGGUAGUAUAUGAGACACAUGUACAGUGAACGUUGUUCUUUGACACAGAUGACCGGAAACAUAACCAAGAAUGACUCACCUUUGUAUGUCCACCCUUCCAGGAACCAAUGAGAACGCCACACACUUCCAAGAGCAGCAUAAAGGCCCACAUAGUGUCACAUGUCUACAAUCACAACACUCCAGGAGUGGCUGUAGGAUAAGGAUUCAAGGCCAGCCUCAGCUAUGUAGCAAGUUCAGGCCAGACUGAGCUAUCUGAAACCCUGUCUCAAAAAUUCCAAAACAAGGGGCUGGAGAGAUGGAUCAGCAAUUAAGAGCCCUUGCUGCUCUUACACAGAUGGUUCACAAUUGCCUGUAAGACUUCUGGCCCCUAAUGACAAACACCCCCCCAACACACACACAGAGGAAUACAUACAUACAUACAUACAUACAUACAUACAUACAUACAUACAUACCAUAAAUAAAAACAAACAAAUCUUUAAAAGCAUUUAAAACAAAACAAAGCAUGGCAACAGAAAGAGAAUAGCCCAAAGGGCAAACGCUGGUGAGCUGAGCUUGGAAAAACUAGAAGAAAAUUUUAAUCUUUUCUCUGUUUUGUAAACAUAGAGUUCCUGCAUGGGACAAUGAAAAAGUUUUAGAAAAGGAAAUGGUGAUGACUGCCCAACAUUAAAAUUCUAUUUAAUGCCUCUAAGAGUUACAUACUAAAAUAUAUUUAAACUGAUAAAUGUUGUAUUUCAUCUACUUUAUCACCAUAAUUUUUAAAACUUUCUGAUGAAAUCUAGAAGCAAUCAGAGUUUGAGAAAACAGUCACACAUUGUGAAAACAUACAUAAGCCACUUCUUUCUGAAAAUAAUUGGGUGGUAUUUAUCUGAAGACUUGCAACAUUGCACCCUUCCUUCCAUUCAUUUCUCUUCUGAGAAAUUUUCUAAUUAAAAAAAAAAAUGUGUGAGAAUGGUCACAAUUCCAGCAUGACUUUGACACUCUGCAGCUGCUCUUGGUUUUGAAGACAGUUGUCACUCUCAAGUCAAGGCUGCCCUGCAACUUGAAAUCGUCCUGCUCCAGCCUGUCAUCUCUCCAUGAGGGACAGCUGUCCUUAGAUUCUCCAUACCCUCUUCACCACUAAAGAAGGGGCACAGAUUCUCAUGAAAACAACUGAAGGUCUCCCUGGAAUAGCUUCAAUGGCUGAUAACCAGAGGGCAGAGGCAAUUGACCAUGCUCUGCCAAGAUGGAGACCCCAAUGGGACUACAACACACAGAGAAGAGGUCACUCAGUGAGUACCACCAGGUUGUGCUAGGAGGGAUGAAACAGGCAGCCUGAAAACCCACUGACCUAUCUAGGGUCACAGAUGUGAAACAGGGCCCAGAUGAAUUGCCUUCAGCUUUCCUGGAGCACCUCCUGGACGCCUAUCAGUUAUAUGCUCCUAUAGACCCAGAGGACCUGGCAAACCUCAAGGUGAUUAACUUGGCCUUUGUUACUCAGUCAGCCCCUGACAUAUGGACAUACAAAAGAUGGAUGGGUUUUCAGGAAAGAACAGGUCAGAACUAUCAGAGAUAGCUCAGAAGGUGUUUGAUGGCAGAGACAGCAACGAUCUUCUGAUAAAGAAGAUGGAGCGUGCCACCGUGGCUGCACUACAAGCACCUGCCUAGGCACCCCAUGAUAAAAAGAGGAAGUAUUUACCAAAGGACCAAUGUGCCUCCUGCAAAGAAAUGGGCCAUUGGAAAAAUGAACGUCCAUGCUGGAAACAGAACUGAGUCAGCCCAUAUUGGCAUUGAAUGGGCUGACCCUGAACUGGGGAUAUCAGGACAACUAACCUGGACCAGACUGCCUCAAGGUUCAAAAACUCUCCCACCAUCUUGGAUGAAGCAUUCAACCAGGAUUUAAAUCUCUUCCAUAGUAAGUGCCUUGAGGAACCUUGCUUCAAUAUGUAGGUGAUUUAUUAUUGACUGCUAUAGAUGAGAAGGACUGUUUGAGAGCCACCAGAGACCUUUUGGAAAUUCUAGCCCAAUUAGACUAUAGAGCUUCUGUUGGAGUCCUGGAGAAGAUCCACAAAAGACCACCUUCCACAUAUGCAAUCAGCAAGAGCAUUUAUUUUCUUGAGAAUAGAAGUACCAACAUGCUGGGGUUGGGCAUCCAACACAAAGGCAAAGAUGGUGCCGGCCCCCAAGAAAAGUUUGGAGGUUCUUUUAUGAACAACUAGAGGAAUUCUAAAAGCAGUGUGAUCACUCAAUCUAUGAUUGGUUUACACAAGUGACAAUCAUAUUAGUAUGUUUCUAAUUGGUUAGGGCUGGCAGGAGUGGGCUAAGGCUAUAGCUUUUCCAUUUUUUUUGGUCAAGUCUAGACAAGUCCCAGGCUUUGUGCUUAAUUGGUUAUCUCCUUGAGGUAAGGAGGGUUACCUCCUUAGUGGGGGUGGAGGGUGGGGAAGUGGCCCUGUCCUGGUAUGUGCAGUUCUUUUCACAGCCUCACUGUCAGGGGCAUUGGUAGUUGAUUGUCCUUUGUUUGUGUCUUCCUCAGAAACUGUCUUGUUGAAUUUCAAGAGGCAGGAACUGAGGCCUAGUUCCUAACUGAGUUAUUAGGGGCCUGCCAUGUUAUCUGCCUGGCCCUCUCAGUUUCUAAAAAGAAAACUCAAAUUUUCUCACCCCAGGUUACUUACUUGGAAUAUGAGCUGAGAGAAAGGAAAAAAGACUGUUGUCCCUCCCACCCCCAUAGCAGCCAUACUGCAAAUCCCAACUCCAAUCACCAAGAAACAAGUUAGGGAAUGUCUGGGAGCUGAUGGAUAUUGCCAUCUUUGAAUACCUGGGAUUGCUGAAAUUGCCAAUCACUCUGCUAUGGCUGCAGCAACAUCCCUUUAGAAUGGACUAAGGAACAUGAACAGGCCUUUAAGAACUUAAAAGAGGCCCUGGUACAGGCCCCCACAUUAACUCUCCCUAAUAUCUCUAGGCCCUUUCUUUACACCCAUAAAAGAAAGGGCAUUCCCAAGGGAGUCCUGACUCAAACCCUGGGUCCCUGGAAAAGGCCGACAGCUUAUAUCUCAAAGAGACUGAAUCCUAUAGUCUUUGGGUGGUUCCCUUGUUUAAGAGUCAUUGCAGCCACUUCGUUUCUUGUAAAAGAAGCUGAGAAGCUCAUGUUGGGACAUAUUUUAACUGUGAUAGCUCCGCAUGCUGUGGAAGCCCUGCUGAGUAUGACCUAGAAGAGAUCAAGUCAUACUCUGACUUGGGAGGUCGGGAGAGCCACAUGGAUAGUGGACCUCACCUGAUGGGAGAAUCGGCAUGCCAAAGGUACUAGGCCAAAGCUGGCUAUUGCCUUGCAUCUUGUCAUGCACUUGUCACCUAGAAAGGUCUCAGAACUUAUGUCACCUCACAUCUGGAUACCUGGACACUGAGAAAAACUUCAGAGCAUUUCAGAUCACUGCCUGACCUGUGCCCAGGUAAAUGCAAAGAAGGACAUGCUUUCCCCAGGCCAACAGGGUCAAGAUACAGUACCCAGUGAAUUUUGGGAAAUGGACCUCACUGAAAUCAAGCUAGGACUGUAUGGACACAAAUACCUGCUGGUCUUUGUUGAAACCUUCAUAGGUUGGGGUAGAGGCCUUUGCAUCCUGAACAGAAACAGCCCAUGUGGUAGCUAAGAACUUGAUAAUUGAAACUAUUCCCAGAUUUGGUCUCUCCAUAUUUCUGGGGUCUGACAAUGACCCAGCCUUCACUGCCAAUUUAUUUCAAUUGCUCUCUAAGGCUCUUAACAUAAGUUAGAAACUUCGUAUGUAUUGUUCUCAGAGCUCAGAAAAUGUAGAGAAUGAAUAGAACUUUAAAGGAGAUUUUUAAACUAAAUAUGCUCUUGAAACUGGUGGCAACUGGGUUGACUCUUGUCUUAUGCCCUUCUCAGAGUCUGAUGUACCCCUACUGAGUAAAGCUGCCCCCAUAUGGGUGACCACUUCCAUGAUCCCUCGGGUACAUGCUGAGCUGUUAUAGGAUUGCCCCACUUCUAUCUCUGAGUCCUUGAAAGGAUGGCAGUUAACUCUGGAUAAGAUUCUCCCUUGGGUCCAGGCUGCUCAGUGUGCUGGGUACCACCCACCCGACCACUGCUCCAGUGCAGAGAUGCUGUGUUAGUCUGCCACUUCAAAACUGACCAGCUUUAGCCUAGAUAGAAAGGACCUUAGACUGUGAUUCUCCUGCUGUUAAAGACGCUGUAUUUCUUCCCGGGUUCAUCACUGACACCUCGAGAAGGCAUCUGAGGAACCCCCGGAAGAGGAGCCCAACCCCCAGUGGUGGAAAGUGAGUGAAAAAGGAUUGGUGAAAAUGAAACUGGCCCACUUUACUGAGCAUAUUAAAUAAAUUCCACAGUAGAGAA